UACGUAGGGACCAAGCGUUGUCCGGAAUCAUUGGGCGUAAAGAGCGUGUAGGCGGCUUGUUAAGUCUUGCGUGAAAUCUCGGGGCUCAACCCCGAGCGGUCGUGAGAAACUGGCAGGCUAGAGUGCGGGAGAGGAGAGUGGAAUUCCUGGUGUAGCGGUGAAAUGCGCAGAUAUCAGGAAGAACACCCGUGGCGAAGGCGGCGCCCUGGUCCGUUACUGACGCUGAGACGCGAAAGCGCGGGGAGCGAACGGG
rnacentral:rRNA from 1 species